AGUUAAAAUCGAAAACAAAUAUGUUUUGAAAGCAUAGAUAAGAGGUUAAAUUCCUCUAUUAACUU
rnacentral:tRNA from 1 species